rnacentral:snRNA from 1 species
AUACUUACCUGGACAGGGUCAAUGGGCGAUCAAUAAGGCUCAUGGCCUAGGUUAGCGGCCUCCAUUGCACGUUGGAGGAGUGUUAAUCUACCAUCUCCCCAAGCGGGAGAGUGGAUGUCAUAAUUUAUGGUAGAGGGGGUACGCGUUCGCGCGGCCCCUG